CCUUGAGUUCAUUCCUAUUCCUGUGCAGAGUUUCCUCCUUGUCCUCUGCAGGUCAGACUUCUCUGUUGCUUGUCCAGGCCCCUGGGAAGGAGCCACGGCAGCCAUGCCUGCGGCUGGGCCUUCGGGGCCACCUCCGUGGACGCUUAGUCGGAGAUCCCUCCUCUCCCGUUUCUCCUGUGGGAGAAGCGCUGGGUUGGCUGUCAGCACACAGCCUGCCCCACGCUCGGUCUUUUUGUGGAGAAGCCCUACUCCUGAUUUGUUUGUUUCCCUUAGUUUGAUGUGUCUCGUGGUGCCUGCCCUCUCCCAGACACGAGGAGAAUACAUUCAGUCACUUAGUCUUGUAACCUUACGGGGAAGCGGAGGCACAGAGAGGUCAAGUAACUUGCCUGCGGCUGUACAGCUGGCAAAUGGGGGAGCCUAGACUGGAAGUCAGGUGGUGGGUCAGGCUCCAGAGCUCACUCUCCAAGCUGCUGCCUUUGAAUGCCUCUCAGGGCGUGAGGGGGCUCCAGGGAGGGGUCUGAGAUGGAGCUUGGACUGAGUCAGGAGCCUGCUGGGUCACAAGCUGGGGAAAGGCUCUGGCGUGGGCAGAGCUGGCCAUGGGCCGUAGGGACAGCAGAGUCCAGCUUGGCUGCAGGAAGUGGGGGGGCGGGCGUGAGAGUAGGGCAGCAGGCUGAGGGGUCUAAGCCGUGGUCUGAACCCACGCCUCCUAAAGUCCCCCUGCUGUGACCUCCCUGGUGGCGCAGCGGUUAAGAAUCCGCCUUCCAACACAGGGGACGUGGGUUCAAUCCCUGGUCCGGGAGGAUCCUCCAUGCCGCAGGGCAACUAAGCCUGAGCGCCAUAACUGCUGAGCCCACACGCCACAAAUAGAGAAGCCUGCGCACUGCAACUAGAGAGCGCUGCGUGCCUCAGUGAAGACCCAGGGCGGCCAAAAGGAAAAAACAAAGCCUCCUGCUACCGCGGAGGAGAUCGUCGGAGGCAGGAAGGAGCAGCGGGGGACCAGUCAGUCCAGAUGAGGCCUGGCCGGAGCCACCAGUUGGCAGGGAGAGUGUCUGAGAUGAUCUGGGGGGCUCACAGCACGGCUGGUGGGCGCAUGAGAGGGGUCAGAGGUGACUUGGGGUGGCUGGGGUCUGCUUGCCAAGGCCAGUCUCAGGGCGGCUUUCCCUCUGGGUCCUUGUUUUUGACAGUUUAGAAGAGGGUCCCUGGUACAUCUGGGCCCUUCCUCAGCCCUUGGGCUCAGCCUGUCCUCGGAGCUGGUUCCUUCUGGCCUGGAGCCCACGUGGUGGGGAGGUUGUCCUCGUUGGGGAGAUGGCCGAGACUGGCGAAACCAGUGUGCACGGUGACCCAGCCUCCGGCAAUGCCUCCCUCCCACCGGUCCCCUUCUGAAGGGGCCACCCAUCUUCAUCCUCUUGCCAGGGUGUUACAGGGGUUUUCUGGGGUUUUUGGACCAGUGAGGAAAGCGAUGCUGGAGAGAGGGUCAGUGCUGGGAGCCGCUUCUCCAGUCCCCUGACGGGAACAGCAGGCUGGGUGGGCUGCUUGGGUGUCUGGUGUUGCGGGUCCACUGUGAAGGGGUCUCUGGGACACCCCCAGGCUCCCACUGGAGCCCCACCCGGCGUCCUGCUCUCUCUGGGUGAUUGACCUUCCCGGGGGCCCGAGCCUUGGCACAAAGUGCCCCAGGCCCCCGCCAGCAGAUGGCGCAGCUGCAGUAACCCAGCUGGCCGUGCCCCUUUCUCAGGAGACACCGGGGGUGGGGCUCCCGCGGCCCCCGCACCCUGGACACCUCCUGGACCUGCUCUUGAACCUGGCUGUGUGGUCACAGGUAAGUGACACGACCCGCGUGGCUUUCCCUGUCCAUACCAUGGUUGGGUGCAGGGACCACGGGUUCCACCAGCUCUGUCAUUCCAUCCCGAGCGCCACACGGUAGGGCUCCCCACCCCCGUGCCUGCCCCGCAGAAACAGCAGGAGCUCGCAGCCCCGACUUCUUCCUCCGGCCAACUGGACGGGCUUCAGAGAAGCUCUUCUGAGCCUGGCUAGGGCCCCGAAGGAGUCAACUCCAGGCAGGUGAUUUGUCUAAGAUCACAAAAAAGGCCUGGGGGAUCUCGACUCAACCCACUUCAUUAACAACCUGCUCCCCUUCAUCUGAAAAGGGGCCCCAUUUUCAAAACCAUGACCGCUUCUCCCUUAAAUCAGCAGCGGACGACAGCCUAAAGAUUGCCCGUAAAUAUACGUUGCCCUGAGGGCUGUUUUGGCCAUUAGAAGAAGGACACCAAGUCAAAGCCUUUCUGCUCUCGAGCGUCCUUGGAGCCGUCAGCAGCGGUGUCCCCCCUCUGAAGCCCCGACACGACUGUGUGGUACCCCUGAACCUCCAUAAUGCCACCUCCUUGAUUUGAAACCUCAGUGCUUCAGCCCCUCCUUGAUGGGAGUCUAAGCUCCCCCUCUGAAGGAAAGGUUUGCUAAGAAAACAGAAUUUUAUGCACAGUCUCGGGAGGUAAGGCGUGGUCUUCACCCUCCACCAGAACCUGCCUGUUCUUAAGGGUUUCCAUGUUGCAUGAUCUGCAGGUUAGAGUUGGGUCACGUCUAGCUUUGAAUAAAGGCCCAGCAAGUUGCCUCUUAGAAAUACCUUGUCACAGCUGACCUUAGGUUCACUAUGGGACUUCUUUAAGAUGGUCUGAUUAAUUCAUGGUGGCCACCCCACGGCCCGUAGCCACCUGAGACAAGAGGAUUUACUGUACCAGUUUAUUGCCAGGCCGUAUCAGCUGAUAAGCAGGAAACUAUAGACCAUCUGUUUAAAAAUAAAAAUAAAAUAAAAAAUUAACAGCGGCACAGCCCUAGAGCAAACACUUUGUACUGCUGCAUAGUAAACGAGCCUGUUGGAUGUAGUGACCUUGGCUGAGGUAGCCACGGGCUUGUCCCUCCGUCCCUGUGUGUCCGGGGCGCUGGGCUGCUCAGAUCUGUGGCCUUCCGGCCCUCAAGCAACACCCUGGAGGGCAGAGCUCCCCGCCCCACAGAGCCCCGGGCAUCACUCCCGUCCUGGCCGCACCAGGCUCCCCCCUCCAGCUCUGGCCACAUUUGCGGGUCUCUAACUCUCUUUAGGCCACAGCGACUGUCCCCAGGCAGGAUGUCCAGCCCCAUCAGCCGAGAGCCCCCACGUUCAGUCGCGUGGACCCAUCGUGGAGGCCGGCCUGUGGGGUGGGCGGGACACAGGAGCGUGGGCCAAGGAGGGCUUCCUGGGGCCGCGAAGGACGGGCCUUUUGCUUGGCUUUGCGGUGAGCUGCCAGCCCCGUUUUGAUUUGCAGCUUUUGUUCGGUACUGCGCGGGGUCUCCUUCGCCUUGGCACUGGCUGGGCGGGGGAGGCGUCAUCACGGCUCUCCUCGGGUCCGCACGCAGGACGACAUCGUUGGCGCGGCCCGCCACUCAAAUCAAGGCAGCAACAGAACCUUCCGAGAAAAGCCUUCAGAAGUGAAAUGUCGAGGCUGCCGUUAUGCGUGAGACGGUGGCAGAGCCGUGAUCCGCUUCUCUUCCUUUCCAGGGUGCCCUGAGGCUGCUGCCGAGCCCACGUUCAAAGGCUGUUUCUUCAAAGUAAACGGUGCUGCCUUCGAACUGGGAGGGGAAGCGGGCGGUUGGGAGGCAGGUUUCCACGUGCGCGUGUUGAACGGCUGGGGCGUGGUCUUUGGUCCAUGAUCGUGUGAGAACUUGGGGUGCGGACAGGGAGGUCCAAGUCCGUCUGGGCCCCGGUGUUGGCAGGGCCGGGAGGGGGCAUCAGGCACAGCCCUGUGGGAAGUGACCGUGAAGGACCCUUCCGGAGGGCCCCCCCCAAUCCUGUUGUGCUUGGUUCAGAGGGUUGGGCGGAGGCUUUCCUGAAGGCUCUAGGAGUGCUGCACCCACAGGCUGUGUGCUCAGGCGGCGGGACGUGGGCCCUCGGACGAGGGAAAGGCCGGCCCGGCCACGUUGUCUGCCUGCUCCCCCCAGGGAGGCCCCAACGCGGUCAGCCGCCCCGUGGUGGCCAGUGGGCAUCGAGAUGCAAGCCCGCCUGUUUUUCCGCUGCUCCAGGCCUCUGGUGUCUCCCCACCGCCUGGAACGCAAAAGCCAUGCCAACCUUGGUCUUGAGCAUCUGCAGCUCCCCAAAGGCCCCCGAUGCUCUUCAGCCUGCACCUGGCCUGUUCCUCCCCUCCUGGGGGUCUUCCUCGCUCUCACCCUGGCUGCCCACCUGGCCUGGUCAGUCCUCCCCACCCUUGGGAAGCCCCCUGACCGUCCAGCCCUCGCUGAGCGUCACAGCCCCUCUCGUCUCGGUUCCUUUGCUGGGUGCUUGUUUGUUGCCCACGCCUCCUACUUCUUCUAGACCGAGCCCCAAGGUGACGGCCAGCUCCGCCACGCGGACUGUUACGCUCUCCAGCUUCUGUCUCCACGCGUGGCACAAAGUAGGUGCCUAAUAAAUUUGUGUAGAACGAA